GACGAACGCUGGCGGCGUGCUUAACACAUGCAAGUCGAGCGGUAAGGCCUCUUCGGGGGUACACGAGCGGCGAACGGGUGAGUAACACGUGAGUAAUCUGCCCCCCUCUCUGGGAUAAGCCUGGGAAACUGGGUCUAAUACCGGAUAUGACCACUGCCCGCAUGGGUUGGUGGUGGAAAGUUUUUUCGGUGGGGGAUGUGCUCGCGGCCUAUCAGCUUGUUGGUGAGGUAACGGCUCACCAAGGCUUCGACGGGUAGCCGGCCUGAGAGGGUGACCGGCCACACUGGGACUGAGACACGGCCCAGACUCCUACGGGAGGCAGCAGUGGGGAAUAUUGGACAAUGGGCGGAAGCCUGAUCCAGCAACGCCGCGUGAGGGAUGACGGCCUUCGGGUUGUAAACCUCUUUCAGCACCGACGAAGCGGAAGUGACGGUAGGUGCAGAAGAAGGACCGGCCAACUACGUGCCAGCCGCCGCCGUAACAC
rnacentral:rRNA from 1 species